UACGUAGGGUGCGAGCGUUAAUCGGAAUUACUGGGCGUAAAGCGUGCGUAGGCGGUUCUCCAAGUCCGUUGUGAAAGCCCCGGGCUCAACCUGGGAAUGGCAGUGGAAACUAGGGGACUGGAAUCUGGCAGAGGGGGGUGGAAUGCCGCGUGUAGCAGUGAAAUGCGUAGAGAUCGGAAAGAACACCAACGGCGAAAGCACUCUGCUGGGCCGACACUGACACUGAGAGACGAAAGCUAGGGGAGCGAAUGGG
rnacentral:rRNA from 1 species